UGCAGUCGGACGGAGUUAACCAACAGCACUCAGCAGUUAGCCUUCAGCAAUCAGCAAAGAGGGGAUGAAGGCCUUGAGAGCUGAGGACUGAUAGCUGAAAGCUGUGUGCUGUUGGUUAACUUAGUGGCGGACGGGUGAGUAACACGUAGGUAACCUACCCUUAAGUGGGGGGCAACCCCGCGAAAGCGGGGCUAAUACCCCAUAAGACCACGGAUGGAGACAUUUGUGGGAAAAGGAGCGAUCUGCUUAGGGAUGGGCCUGCGGCCUAUCAGGUAGUUGGUGGGGUAAAGGCCUACCAAGCCGAAGACGGGUAGCCGGGCUGAGAGGUUGGACGGCCACACUGGAACUGAGACACGGUCCAGACUCCUACGGGAGGCAGCAGUGGGGAAUUUUGCACAAUGGGCGGAAGCCUGAUGCAGCGACGCCGCGUGGAGGAUGAAGGCCUUCGGGUUGUAAACUCCUUUUGUAGGGGACGAUAAUGACGGUACCCUACGAAUAAGCCACGGCUAACUCUGUGCCAGCAGCCGCGGUAAGACAGAGGUGGCGAGCGUUGUUCGGAAUCACUGGGCUUAAAGGGCGCGUAGGUGGUAGUGCAAGUCUGGGGUGGAAUCCUAUGGCUUAACCAUAGAAUUGCCCUGGAAACUGUAUUACUUGAGUCAGUGAGGGGAGGGUAGAAUUCCUGGUGUAGCGGUGA
rnacentral:rRNA from 1 species